UACAGAGGUCUCAAGCGUUGUUCGGAUUCAUUGGGCGUAAAGGGCGCGUAGGCGGCUUCGCAAGUGGAAGGUGAAAUCCCUCGGCUUAACCGAGGAACUGCCCUCCAACUGCGUUGCUUGAGGCCGGGAGAGGUGAGUGGAAUUCCCAGUGUAGCGGUGAAAUGCGUAGAUAUUGGGAGGAACACCAGUGGCGAAGGCGGCUCACUGGACCGGUUCUGACGCUGAGGCGCGAAAGCGUGGGGAGCAAACGGG
rnacentral:rRNA from 1 species